GUCCUCCUCUCUAAUGGGGGACCAAUCGUGCAGCGGGUCAGGCAUCGUGGACACUGUAGUGGAAAUUACAGGCAGUGAUUUUAAUUCUGUCUCAGUAUGUAUUAACGCCUGCAUUGUGACUGCAUUUGGGUCUCUGUCUCCUCCCCCCUGAAUCGGGAGGAGGAAACAGCAUUUGCCAUCUCUCUUCCACCAACCCGUGAGCCUCAUGAACAGUUUUGUCCUUUAGUCUUUUGCCAAUACCAUGUUUUGCCCACACGAUGGUAGUGCUGAAGCACUCUUCCCAUUCUUUGGAGGAAAGGUGCUGAAGCUUGGCCGUUUCUUCCAUCAAUGCAUCUUCGUAGUGGUUUUUAAGAAUCAGCAUUUUGGUAUAGGCCCAAUAUAGGGCAUGUGUUUUGGCGUUUGGCAACGCCGGUUUGAUAACCUCUGACAGGUGUCUUUCAGUUUUAUUAAUAGCAGGAGGCUGUUCCUGGCUGAUGUAAGGUUGCAAGAGCAACCUCUAGAUCAUCUGUCCUCAUCCUACUUGACCUCUCUGCUGCUUUCGACACUAUGAACCAUCAGAUCCUCCUGUCAACUCUCUCCAGCCUGGGCAUCACUGGAAUGGUUCUGCGCUGGGUGGAAUCCUAUCUCUCUGAUGGAUCCUUCAAGGAAUCAUGGAGGGGAGCCUGACAAUCCAUCUGUCUCUGCACGUAUCUCUGCUUGCCUGUCGGACAUCUUGGUCUGGAUGAGGGAACGCUACCUUAAGCUCAACCUGGCAAAAUCUGAGCUUCUCGUCAUCCCAGCCUGUCCCUCAAUCUACCACAACCUCACUGUACAGCUCAGCUCAACCACACUCAAGCCAACCAGGACGGCCAGGAUCCUUGGGGUGAUUCUUGAUGACAGCUUGACCUUUACAGACCACAUCUGAACAACUGCACAGUCCUGUAGGUUCAUCCUGUACAACAUCAAGAAAAUCAGACCCUACCUCACCGAACAGGUUACACAGAUACUAGUCCAGGCUCUUCUUAUCUCAAAACUGGACUACU
ensembl:lncRNA